rnacentral:lncRNA from 1 species
AGCAGAAGCGUGGGGUGCCAGGGCAAGGUGUGUGGGUGAACACGUUGAGCUGGGGCCGGGGAUAUUUAACAUACAGCUCACAGCAAUAUCUCACCGAGGUGUUUGCACAAGAGCUCAGGGAGGAAGGAUGAUAAGCUGAGACAUUACAGCACAGUGGACCCCGUCUGCCAGCCCCCGGAGAAGCAGAGAAGAGGCUUUAAUUAAACCAGAGGGACUCUUAACCUCCGGAGAGGAAGGCGAGCAGCCCGUCUUCCUCCUGCAGCAGCGCCUGAUGCAAUAAGCUGCCGUGAUCCAGGGGUGGAUCCCUCUCUCUCUGCUUUACUGCUCCGUGGGACAAAGCUGCAGCGAAAUUUGCCACAUCGAGUGCUGCUGUGCACUCCUCCUCUGGGCUGGGCUCGGAGCUUUAAUUAGAUCGAGUCCUGUCAGCAAGCAUAAUUGCUUGCUUCGGUUGAGAAGAGUGGACAGAAAGGAAGGCUGUGAAUUAAUUCCUCUCUGGGAGCAAGCUGGGCAUGGCUGCUGAGGGUCCUGUUGUGAAAACACGCUGCUGGGUUUGGCUGCUCUGAAAUACUUGGGAUAUUUAUUUAUUUUUUUUACCCCAUUCUCUUCCAAAGCUACUGGUUUUAACAGCAAUAGUAUUGACAGAUAGUGCAGCAUCUUCCCUGCUUAGAUGUUAAACUAAAAAGGUUGGUAUUCCAUGAGGCCUUCUACAAAUUUGUGUACUUAUUGGGCCAUUUUGGCCAGAUUUGGCAGAGGAAGUCUAAAGUUAAAAUUUGGAAGAUGAGAGAUGAGUGAAGGGGGCAGAAAGACCUUAAAUUAACCUUAAACCUUAUAAUUAUAGAGAGAGAGCACAAAGCCUAUAGUAACCUGGGAAUCCACUUGGUACAUCCUUAAAGACAGAAAAUCAGGGUUUGUGGAAGUCUGUUGCGAAAUGAUGAACAGCAGAGUGUAUUUGCACAUGGAGAUAUAAUAACAGAUAAGGGAUUUAAUAUUUUGGGGUGGUGGGGGAGGUU